rnacentral:rRNA from 1 species
GAUGAACGCUGGCGGCGUGCCUAAUACAUGCAAGUCGAGCGAACAGAUAAGGAGCUUGCUCCUUUGACGUUAGCGGCGGACGGGUGAGUAACACGUGGGUAACCUACCUAUAAGACUGGGAUAACUUCGGGAAACCGGAGCUAAUACCGGAUAACAUUUGGAACCGCAUGGUUCUAAAGUGAAAGAUGGUUUUGCUAUCACUUAUAGAUGGACCCGCGCCGUAUUAGCUAGUUGGUAAGGUAACGGCUUACCAAGGCGACGAUACGUAGCCGACCUGAGAGGGUGAUCGGCCACACUGGAACUGAGACACGGUCCAGACUCCUACGGGAGGCAGCAGUAGGGAAUCUUCCGCAAAGGGCGAAAGCCUGACGGAGCAACGCCGCGUGAGUGAUGAAGGGUUUCGGCUCGUAAAACUCUGUUAUUAGGGAAGAACAAAUGUGUAAGUAACUGUGCACGUCUUGACGAUACCUAAUCAGAAAGCCACGGCUAACUACGUG